GAUGAACGCUAGCUACAGGCUUAACACAUGCAAGUCGCGGGGCAGCAUGGGGGUUGCUUGCAAUCCCCGAUGGCGACCGGCGCACGGGUGAGUAACGCGUAUCCAACCUGCCCUUCACCACGGGAUAACCCGGCGAAAGUCGGACUAAUACCGUAUGUUGUCCGUUGACGGCAUCCGAUUUGGACGAAAGGUUUGGCGGUGAAGGAUGGGGAUGCGUCCGAUUAGCUGGACGGCGGGGUGACGGCCCACCGUGGCGACGAUCGGUAGGGGUUCUGAGAGGAAGGUCCCCCACACUGGAACUGAGACACGGUCCAGACUCCUACGGGAGGCAGCAGUGAGGAAUAUUGGUCAAUGGGCGUAAGCCUGAACCAGCCAAGUAGCGUGCAGGAUGACGGCCCUAUGGGUUGUAAACUGCUUUUAUGCGGGGAUAAAGUGGCCCACGUGUGGGUUUUUGCAGGUACCGCAUGAAUAAGGACCGGCUAAUUCCGUG
rnacentral:rRNA from 1 species